AGUAACGGCGAGUGAAGCGGGAUGAGCUCAAAUUUAAAAUCUGGCUGGUUUACUAGUCCGAAUUGUAGUUUAAAGAAGCGUUUUCGGUGGCAGUCUCGGUAUAAAUCCUUUGGAAUAGGGUAUCAUAGAGGGUGAGAAUCCCGUCUUUGACUGAGAAUUUGCUACUAUGUGAUACGUUUUCAAAGAGUCGAGUUGUUUGGGAAUGCAGCUCAAAAUGGGUGGUAAAUUUCAUCUAAAGCUAAAUAUUGGCGAGAGACCGAUAGCGAACAAGUACCGUGAGGGAAAGAUGAAAAGAACUUUGAAAAGAGAGUUAAACAGUGCGUGAAAUUGUUGAAAGGGAAACGCUUGAAACCAGUCAUGUGGUUGGAAAAUCAGUGUUCAAUUGGGGGGAAUGGGGGAGGUGUGGACCGCAAGGCUGCUCUUUUCUAUAUCUCUUUUGUUGGGCAUGCACUUUUUCUGCCGCAGGUCAACAUCAGUUUCUUUUGCUGGACAAAACUCUUGAGAAGGUAGCAGCUUAGGCUGUGUUAUAGCUCUGGAGCGAUACAGUGAAGGGGACUGAGGUUUUCGCAGCAUGUGCUCUCGGGCAAGGCCAAUUGGGUGCUAUGGGAUCGUUCGGGGUACAAUACAUGUAUUUUGCUUCGUGUCCUUUUCUAUACUCGUUCAAUUGAGCUC
rnacentral:rRNA from 2 species